rnacentral:lncRNA from 1 species
CCGAAUCGGUUACUUACUGCUACCAGCGUACAGUACCUCUCAUCACGACGAGAGAGAGAGAGAGAGAGAGAGAGAGACGUACCUUGCGCCUCAUCCAUGGCUGGUGGUCGGAGAGAGAGAGAGACGACGACGGCUCCAGCAACUUUUGAGCGAGAGAGAAACGGGGUGGGGGCGACGACGCGAGACGCGACGGUGCCAAAGAUUCCC